rnacentral:tRNA from 1 species
GCGCGCGUAGCUCAAUUGGAUAGAGCAUCGGUCUUCGAAACCGAAGGUUGGGGGUUCGAAACCCUUCGCGCGCG